GACGAACGCUGGCGGCGUGCUUAACACAUGCAAGUCGAACGGAAAGGCCCUGCUUUUGUGGGGUGCUCGAGUGGCGAACGGGUGAGUAACACGUGAGUAACCUGCCCUUGACUUUGGGAUAACUUCAGGAAACUGGGGCUAAUACCGGAUAGGAGCUCCUGCUGCAUGGUGGGGGUUGGAAAGUUUCGGCGGUUGGGGAUGGACUCGCGGCUUAUCAGCUUGUUGGUGGGGUAGUGGCUUACCAAGGCUUUGACGGGUAGCCGGCCUGAGAGGGUGACCGGCCACAUUGGGACUGAGAUACGGCCCAGACUCCUACGGGAGGCAGCAGUGGGGAAUAUUGCACAAUGGGCGGAAGCCUGAUGCAGCAACGCCGCGUGCGGGAUGACGGCCUUCGGGUUGUAAACCGAUUUCGCCUGUGACGAAGCGUGAGUGACGGUAGUGGGGAAAGAAGCACCGGCUAACUACGU
rnacentral:rRNA from 1 species